CGAGCAUGGUGAUGAUUGUUUAAUUCUACCGAUAAUUCAUGAAUGGAUUUACAAACCUCCUACUCAUUCUGA